UAUUACUUUGGCAGAUUAGUGUGGUAGAUUUAGAAUUUAUUUAUGUAAAUUUUUUACAGGUAAUA
rnacentral:tRNA from 1 species